rnacentral:rRNA from 1 species
AACGAACGCUGGCGGCGCGCCUAACACAUGCAAGUCGAACGAGAAGGCGUAGCAAUACGCUUGUAAAGUGGCGAACGGGUGAGGAACACGUGGGUAACCUACCCUCGAGUGGGGAAUAGCCAACCGAAAGGUUGGCUAAUGCCGCGUACGCUUCCAUCUCUUUGGAGGUGGAAGGAAAGCUGUACCGUGGGUACAGCGCUCAAGGAUGGGCUCACGUCCUAUCAGCUUGUUGGUAGGGAACGGCC